rnacentral:lncRNA from 1 species
CCGGGGGUGGAUGGUGGGUGCGGCGUAGAUGACUGUGGGGUUGGGCCGCGACGGGUGCAACACGAACAGCCGCGGCUUGGGCCUCACAGAGAAAGAAGGAGGUGGCUCUAGCAAUGGAAUGGAACGGGCCUGGGGCCUGCGGCAGAUGGCGGCGUGGCGGGGCCGUGGGUAGCAUGCCAGAGAGAGUGAGUGCAGGUUGGCCACUAGCAGAGAAAGGUGGAGGAUCGGCUGGGGGG